CCUACGGGCGGCUGCAGUGGGGAAUAUUGCACAAUGGGCGCAAGCCUGAUGCAGCCAUGCCGCGUGUGUGAAGAAGGCCUUCGGGUUGUAAAGCACUUUCAGCGGGGAGGAAGGCGGUGAGGUUAAUAACCUCAUCGAUUGACGUUACCCGCAGAAGAAGCACCGGCUAACUCCGUGCCAGCAGCCGCGGUAAUACGGAGGGUGCAAGCAUUAAUCGGAAUCACUGGGCGUAAAGCGCACGCAGGCGGUCUGUCAAGUCGGAUGUGAAAUCCCCGGGCUCAACCUGGGAACUGCAUUCGAGACUGGCAGGCUAGAGUCUUGUAGAGGGGGGUAGAAUUCCAGGUGUAGCGGUGAAAUGCGUAGAGAUCUGGAGGAAUACCGGUGGCGAAGGCGGCCCCCUGGACAAAGACUGACGCUCAGGUGCGAAAGCGUGGGGAGCAAACAGGAUUAGAUACCCCGGUAGUC
rnacentral:rRNA from 1 species